rnacentral:rRNA from 1 species
GAUGAACGCUGGCGGCAUGCCUAAUACAUGCAAGUCGAGCGAACGGACGAGAAGCUUGCUUCUCUGAUGUUAGCGGCGGACGGGUGAGUAACACGUGGAUAACCUACCUAUAAGACUGGGCUAACUUCGGGAAACCGGAGCUAAUACCGGAUAAUAUUUUGAACCGCAUGGUUCAAAAGUGAAAGACGGUCUUGCUGUCACUUAUAGAUGGAUCCGCGCUGCAUUAGCUAGUUGGUAAGGUAACGGCUUACCAAGGCAACGAUGCAUAGCCGACCUGAGAGGGUGAACGGCCAGACUGGAACUGAGACACGGUCCAGACUCCUACGGGAGGCAGCAGUAGGGAAUCUUGCGCGAUGGGCGAAAGCCUGACGGAGCAACGCCGCGUGAGUGAUGAAGGUCUUCGGAUCGUAAAACUCUGUUAUUAGGGAAGAAAAUAUGUGUAAGUAACUGUGCACAUCUUGACGGUACCUAAUCAGAAAGCCACGGCUAACUACGUG